UGCUCAGCAACUCCUAUCCCUACCUCCUCGUGGUACUGGCCGGGGUACGAGUAACCUUGGGGAAGAUUGGGUAACCAACCCCCGGUGGGAACUUUGGUCGUAUGCUGACAGGGAAGG
rnacentral:ribozyme from 1 species